rnacentral:rRNA from 1 species
UACGUAGGGGGCAAGCGUUGUCCGGAAUCAUUGGGCGUAAAGAGCGUGUAGGCGGCUCGGUAAGUCCGCUGUGAAAGUCCAGGGCUCGACCCUGGAAUGCCGGUGGAAACUGUCGAGCUAGAGUCCGGAAGAGGCGAGUGGAAUUCCUGGUGUAGCGGUGAAAUGCGCAGAUAUCAGGAGGAACACCAAUGGCGAAGGCAGCUCGCCGGGACGGUACUGACGCUGAGACGCGAAAGCGUGGGGAGCAAACAGG